rnacentral:rRNA from 1 species
UACGGUGGGAGCAAGCGUUGUUCGGAUUUACUGGGCGUAAAGGGCGCGUAGGCGGCCACUGCAAGUCGGUUGUGAAAUCUCCGGGCUUAACCCGGAAAGGUCAAUCGAUACUGCAGGGCUAGAGUGCAGAAGGGGCAACUGGAAUUCUCGGUGUAGCGGUGAAAUGCGUAGAUAUCGAGAGGAACACCUGCGGCGAAGGCGGGUUGCUGGGCUGACACUGACGCUGAAGCGCGAAAGCUAGGGGAGCGAACGGG